AUGUCCCAUAAGACAUUGCGUCUCGCUGGAGCGUGAAGCACGAAAAAGGACUUAUAUGUUUAUUAUCCUUAUAAUCGAGGGCGACAUCGUAUUAGGACGACACAACAUUUGACAUUUUAAUUUAAUCAAGAAAUCUUUAAAUUUUUAUUACUGGUCAAUAAUUUUUUUACAAGGUUGUUCCGAAUGGUGGAGUUUUGUCGAAGGAAGUUCCCUUAACCGACAUUCCCUGCAAACAGAGCAGGGAGUAAGGAAGAACCAUGUGAAGUACACUUCGGAAUGGAACGCAGCUCAUAGGUGCGUUCGAGCUCAUGCUGCGCUGUGCAGACCGAUCGGUGAGAUUAGCCGGAAGCAGUCGGGGAGGAGCUGAAAACGGAGCCGUCAAGUCGGACACGUUGGGGAUCUCGUUGCUUCUUCAAACAUGGCAGAUCACGUGGCGUUUGCCUACUAUAUUGCAGAUGAACUGGAAGCUAUAGAAAUACCUUUUUUGUUGAAAGAAAUGCAGCAGGAUGAACAACGACGCUCCUCCACAACAGUUCCCAAACUGGUCAACAUCUUUUUUUUUUUUUUUUCAAAAAAUCGUCUGCGCCUCUCUUUUAGUUGACGCCAUCGCUUCAGUCCGGCCUUACAAGAGACUCAAGCACAGCUGUUCUUCGUUCUGCAUGCGCUUCAUAUGCCUCAAAAAAUUGUGAGGGUUGUGAGGAUCUCUGCCUCCUGGACAUGCUUGUAUUGGCAGAGAUUGAUGGAGGCCUGUUUUGAGAAGGUGGAUCUUCCAAACAUAGAGGAGUAGAGCAGAUAGUUCCAGGUGGUGCAGUUCCUAUUCCAGAGGACCCAAAUAGCUCAUCCAUUUGCUGCAGAAAAAGCACAAUGUAAUACGAAAGUGACUUUGUAAUAAGAUGCAAAAUGAUCUUAUACAGUGCAGUCUUAAGACUUACUGUGUAGUACUCCCAGGUUUGCUUUCCCUCCCCAGUUGCACGGCGGCGAUCCUUAACUCUUUUGUAAGUAGUUAACAUGUUGGUUAACUUUUUUCUAAUUCUUUCACUUGACAAGGUGUAUCCUUUUUGUGAAAAAGUAGUUUGUAGCUUUUUAUAAAAAGCAGUUUUGUUGCGGAAGUAGAGUUGCUGAUAAGUUUUUGGUCCAAAAGUAGCAACGUCAUUUUGUGUGUGAUUUCUGAAAAAAAGUUUUUUACCACUGCAAACACAUGCAUCUUUUUUCCAGUCUUAGGUGCCAUACCUUGUGAUUCAGGGCGGUCUAUCUGGAUAGAGGAUGGGUUUCUGGCUCCUGAAGGGUUACCACCCACUACAUCAGUUUUUAGGGUGGUAGUCGGUAGGUCCUGGCUAAUGGGUGUCUGUUGCACAGGGCACUGGCUGGUUGGUGGUUUCACAAAACUGAGAUUUAGGGGUACAGGUGACUCAGUGGAGGUAGAGGGACAUAGAGAAGGAGGUUGGGGAAACACUGCAGCACAAGCUAGAUCGCUGAUACUGUAGGAGCUGUUUAGAGAGAAAGCUGAAAAUUUAGUUAUCACUUAUGUGUCCAGUAUGUGUUUGUUCAUCACAAGUGUUUACCUUGUUUUGUGUCAACGGCUGUAACUUUUGCCAUGACAUCAGAGAGGAACAUCUGGGGAAAUACUCAAAACUAUCACACAGUCCUCUCUCUGGAACUUCUUGAAGGUCUCCAUUGACUAUGCCUUUCUAAACUUGUUUUGUGAUUUGUUUUUAUUUUUGUCUUUGCAUUUAAGAAUUUAUAGCCAUUAGAAUGUGUUACAAAAUUUUGCCUGUUGUUAAGACACCUGUACCAGGUGUCUUAACAACAGGACACCUGUUGUUUUGUUGAAAAAUGUAAUAAAAAAAAAACUAUCACACAUCAUUGUUACCUUGUAUUUAUUCCAGUUCUUCCAUUUACUUACCAGUUUUUAUUCUUUCUGCAAUUUCCUUGGAAACCUUAAGUGUAAAGGUUCUUUCUUUGCUGUCCUUCACAUUCAUUGGUAUAUUAUUCAUUUUGUUUUUUCUUGCAAUUGGUCUUUAUAUAUGUGAAGUGAGAGACCAUGGGACUAUACUCAAGGUGUGUGAAGCUACCGAGAAAAAUCAUAGAUGCACAAGUACAAUGUAUUUGUCUUUAUUAUAAUUUAUACCAGUGUAUAAAAGUGAUCUAAAUGUUGUAUUUUUCAAUUGACAAUGCACACUAGCACAAUGCAGCACAUGCAAGUGAAGCAGCAACUACAGACUUC